UCCGUAGGUGAACCUGCGGAAGGAUCAUUACCGAGUUGAUUCGGGCUCCGGCCCGAUCCUCCCACCCUUUGUGUACCUACCUCUGUUGCUUUGGCGGGCCGCGGUUCUCCGCGGCCGCCCCCCUCCCCGGGGGGUGGCCAGCGCCCGCCAGAGGACCAUCAAACUCCAGUCAGUAAACGAUGCAGUCUGAAAAACAUUUAAUAAACUAAAACUUUCAACAACGGAUCUCUUGGUUCUGGCAUCGAUGAAGAACGCAGCGAAAUGCGAUAAGUAAUGUGAAUUGCAGAAUUCAGUGAAUCAUCGAAUCUUUGAACGCACAUUGCGCCCUUUGGUAUUCCGAAGGGCAUGCCUGUUCGAGCGUCAUUACAACCCUCAAGCUCUGCUUGGUAUUGGGCACCGUCCUUUGCGGGCGCGCCUCAAAGACCUCGGCGGUGGCGUCUUGCCUCAAGCGUAGUAGAACAUACAUCUCGCUUCGGAGCGCAGGGCGUCGCCCGCCGGACGAACCUUCUGAACUUUUCUCAAGGUUGACCUCGGGUCAGGUAGGGAUACCCGCUGAACUUAAGCAUAUCAAUAAGCGGAGGA
rnacentral:rRNA from 1 species